GCAGCAGUUUCAUCCUAAAUAUUAGUGACUUCAUACCGGAUUGUGCAUUGUUACAUCCCACAAGGAAUAUUCAUACAUUCAGCUAUAAGUGGAUCAGACAACGGACUCUUUUAAAAGUUCUAUGAAGUGCUGACCUGCGCCAUGGCGAACUUAAAAGGCAUACCCUCGCCCAGCGGUUCGCGUUUCGAGACAGUUGGUACGUUGUCGCAGAACCUUCAUUCAGUUCCCAAGGGAACACUCUACUGAGAAUUUGUUCUGCUUACGCAUGGAUGGGAGGGGGCAGAGUGUCUGCGGCUGCAGUACCUCGAGCGUUGCUGUGUUUUCCAGGACCGUCUCCUCAACGAAACAGACCGCGCGUGUUUCGGCAAGCUUCCUUGCAGCAGACUGCACUUACAUUUCUGCGCUGACUCACAUAAUGUUCUCCGUGACUGACUCUUCUGUCAUCUUGGGCGACGUCCUACACUGCACCCUCGACAUAAGGACAUGCAUAGAAAAUACUGACAUUGUGAAGCUCUUCUGAUGAAAUAUUCCCGGCUCGUAUCCAGCAGUUUCCCGCUCUGGUGAAAUGUUUCACUGUCGACUGCUUUGCUUCUUGACCAGACGGCGCUCUCUACGUAAAACAGCCUGGCCAGAAGAAACUCAGUUACUAGGGGCUAUGGAGAGCAUUUCUGCUGAACCCAGGUCAAUUUCUGCUCUGCCUUACAGAUUGUCACAGAAGCUCAGGUUAUACGAGUAUGUGGAAAAUCCACCUUUUCAACCUGGUCUCAUUGUACACAGCUGGUCAGCUCAACAAUGGUGGAUGAGUCACAGACAACUGGAACUACUGUUGCAUCAUGUUCAUGCUGUAGAACCACUAUAAGAUUGAAGAUACCCAGUAAUGUAUGAAGAAUUACUGAACAGUUACUGAACAAUGUUGUAGUGCAGGGGGUGAUGCAUUAUAAUCGGCUGCUGGAUAUUAUUCACUCCUCCUGCAGAGAAACUGAGCAGCAGCAACAACAAAACGAAAGUAAUGGUGAACAUAUGAAGGACAUAUCCGAGGGUCCAACAGAAGGAAGUCAACCCAGGUACCAAGCACCAAUGUAACUACAAAUUUAUAUUUGGAAAGUGAUACAA